AGCCGACGCACUAAUGCGAAAGCAUUUGCCAAGAAUGUUUUCAUUAAUCAAGAACGAAAGUCAGAGGUUCGAAGGCGAUCAGAUACCGUCCUAGUUCUGACCGUAAACCAUGCCAACUAGCGUUCCGCGGCGGUAAAUACGACGCGGCGGACAGCUUCUGGGAAACAAAAGUAUUUGGGUUCCGGGGGGAGUAUGGUUGCGAAGCUACUACUUAAAGGAAUUGACGGAAGGGCGCCACCAGGAGUGGAGCCUGCUGCUUAAUUUUACUCAACACGGGAAAACUCACCCGGCACACACACGGGGAGGGUUGACAGGUUAAUAGCUCUUUCUUUAUUCGGUGGGUGGUGCAUCAUGGCCGUUCUUAGUUGGAGGGGUUAUUUUUCUGGAUAAUUCUGAUAACCAACAAUACUCCCGCCUAAUAAAUAAUUACCGGACCUGCUUCGCCGUGUCGACUUCUUACUUCGACAAGCGGCGUUGUGCCUCAUCAAGAUGAACAAUAUCAGGUGUGUGAAGCUGUUAAAUGUUGGGG
rnacentral:rRNA from 1 species